rnacentral:rRNA from 1 species
GUGCAGCAGGCGAGAAACUUUACAAUGUGCGAAAGCACGAUAAGGGAACUCUGAGUGCCUCCUAAGGAGGCUGUUCAGGUGUCUAAAAGCACCUGAAGGAAGGGCUGGGUAAGACCGGUGCCAGCCGCCGCGGUAACACCGGCAGCCCAAGUGGUAGCCACGUUUAUUGGGUCUAAAGCGUCCGUAGCCGGCUGGGUAAGUUCCUUGGGAAAUUUGGCAGCUUAACAGUCAAGCUUUCAGGGAAUACUGCCCGGCUUGGGACCGGGAGAGGUCAGAGGUACUCCAGGGGUAGGGGUGAAAUCCAUUAAUCCUUGGGGGACCACCGGUAGCGAAGGCGUCUGACCAGACCGGGUCCGACGGUGAGGGACGAAGGCUAGGGGCGCGAACCGGAUUAGAUACCCGUGUAGU